UAAACACAGACAUAACAGACCAUUUUAGAGAAGAAUGCUGAAUGUUUUCGCUACCGAUUUUUCGCCUAUAUACACUAUGACUGGUAAAAUAUUACUUGAGAAGGAAAUUUGUAGUUGGCAUUUUAGCCUCAAACAACAACCAACGCUGUAGCAUGUCAUUGUGUUUACAUGUAGGUGUUCCAGUUACACUAUGGGCAUGUUCUAUUUCAACUGUUUUGACGGUACACGACAUUAAACAUACAUAUACAAACCUUUAUGAAUAAUUUUUGUGAAAAUAUCAAGUAAUUGUCACCCAAAUAAAUAAAAUGCAGAAUGUUAACAAAACAAGAAAUAGUUGUUUGUGAUCUGUAGAAUGAAAACAGGAAAUAAGCAGACACCCAAUCUAAGAUGAACAUAAAUAAGUCUGAGAGAGAGGAGGGGGGUUUGAUUCAUACAUAUUACAGUCCCUGAACAGACAGUGUGUCAGAAAGAAGAGCAGCAGAGAUGGGACUUCAGUACGCUCUGAAUUUCUGGAUACUAACUGUUUUCUUUUUAACCGGGGUCCUGGGUAGCGAAUGGGGUGUAGAGUAUUCAGGAAAUCCACUCUGUGCCAUUAGAAGAUCCACUGUGGUCAUUCCCUGUUCAUAUAAAUAUCCAGAUUCAUUAAGAGUAGAGACAGUCAUGUGGUGUCAGAAUGAUGAUGAGACCUGUGAUAAAAUGCUAUACGUGUCUCACAGCAAUAAAACAAACAUUAUUGCUGGGUACAGAGACAGGGCAGAAUAUUUAGGGAACAAAGAGAAGAACUGCACAUUACAGAUAAAGAACAUUACAGACAAAGAUGCUGGUGUGUAUACAUUUAGGUUCACGACCAAUGAACCUGCAGGAAAAUGGACUGGAAAACCUGGAAUAAACCUUAAAGUUGAUGAUGGUGCAUGGACUGUGCGUUACACAGAGAGAAACCUGUGUGCAUUGAGAGGAUCGACUGUGCUCAUUCAGUGUGAAUAUGGAUAUCCAGAGCCACACAAAGUGGACUCCAGGAUGUGGAGUCGGAAUGAUGUGGGCUGUACUGGAAAAUCAUAUGUCUGUCACAGUAAUAAUGCAAACAUUAGUGCUGAGUACACAGGCAGAGCGGAAUUCUUGGGGAACAACACAAGGAACUGUACAUUGCAGAUAAAGAACAUUAGAGAGACGGAUGCUGGAGAGUAUAGA